UACGAGGGGGGCGAGCGUUGUUCGGAAUUAUUGGGCGUAAAGGGUGCGUAGGCGGUUCCGCAAGUCCUGUGUGAAAUCUUCGGGCUCAACUCGAAGUCUGCACGGGAAACUGCGGGGCUGGAGUACGGUAGAGGGGGAUGGAAUUCCGCGUGUAGCAGUGAAAUGCGUAGAUAUGCGGAGGAACACCGAUGGCGAAGGCAAUCCCCUGGACCUGUACUGACGCUCAUGCACGAAAGGCGUGGGAGCAAACGAGG
rnacentral:rRNA from 1 species